CCUCUCAAAAGUGAUGAUAUAAUCACCUAUGUUCUUGCAGGACUUGGCCAGGAAUAUGAUUCCUUGGCCUCCACAAUUACCUCAAGACCUGAUCCUGUCAACUUGGAGGAACUCUACUCCCUACUUCUCAUCUAUGAAU